rnacentral:rRNA from 1 species
AUUGAACGCUGGCGGCAUGCCUUACACAUGCAAGUCGAACGGCAGCACGGGAGCAAUCCUGGUGGCGAGUGGCGAACGGGUGAGUAAUGUAUCGGAACGUGCCCAGUCGUGGGGGAUAACGUAGCGAAAGCUACGCUAAUACCGCAUACGAUCUGUGGAUGAAAGCAGGGGACCGUAAGGCCUCGCGCGAUUGGAGCGGCCGAUAUCAGAUUAGGUAGUUGGUGGGGUAAAGGCCUAACAAGCCGACGAUCUGUAGCUGGGCUGAGAGGACGAGCAGCCGCACGGGGACUGAGGCACGGCCCAGACUCCUACGGGAGGCAGCGGUGGGGAAUUUUGGACAAUGGGGGCAAGCCUGAUCCAGCAAUGCCGCGUGCAGGAUGAAGGCCUUCGGGUUGUAAACUGCUUUUGUACGGAGCGAAAAGGCUCUCUCUAAUACAGGGGGCUCAUGACGGUACCGUAAGAAUAAGCACCGGCUAACUACGUGCCAGCAGCCGCCGUAA